GCUGCUGCUGCUGCUGCUGCUGUUGUGAUGAACCAGCCUAUAAUCUGUAAAUCAAUGCAAAAACUUUAUUUAAUGGUUUAGAAACUAAAUGGAUGCAAUCUAAUUAACUCUUCUAGCUGUGAAACGUAUUUAUGUGAAUUAAUUUUUAAUACUCGGUGCUGGGAGCAAGAGAACUGCAGUGGAGAACAGAUCUUCUGUGCUCUCCUUUAAGUACAACAGAGGGAGAUGGGAAUGAUGUAGAAGAUGGAAGGUAGAACCAGUUGGUAUUUAUUCUCUUGUUUUGGGUGUCAUUUUAAAGCACUGCAUUGUUACUGCAGAGUCUUGAAAUUCUUCGACUUGGUCCAUCACUUCUAAAGACACCCCCGUCGAUCUGUUUUGGAAUUUGGAAAGGGUUCACCAAUUAACAAUAUUUUUUUUAAAAGAAAACUGUCCCGUUGUGUUAAACUGACUUAAAAUCUCAUCUGAAUGUUGGAAACUGGACUCAGCUCAACCAACCCCCAAAAGAAAUUUCUGAAGCUCUAGUGGCUAGAUAAGCAAGUCCCCAAGCUUCCAAACCUUGAGGAGGUGGAGUUGCUGUGCACUCACAGAUCUUUCUUAACCAAUCUCAGGAGAAUCUCCAAAUGCAACUAGUACCAUUAAUAUGGGCAAAUAUCUUUACUACAGACUCUAACAGCUGUUUCUUGCCCUGUGAUUUCUUAACCUCUUCAGCUCAAACUGCUUAACCUCCAGUGGUGUGUGGUCAGUGGACUAGGGGGACUGGGUAAAUUAGAGCAUUAAAGCCUGGUGCCUCCUUCCCAAAGCUCGGGAUGCUUCUGCCCAACUGAGGGAGGGAGGUGUGAUGCUCUGACAAGGUCCAAGAGCCCUCCUGCCACCUUCCCAAAGCCCAGAAAGCUUCUGCCUGGCUUAGGGAGGGAGGCACAAUGCUCAUUCCCCCCCCCAUUGCCCUUGCAAGUUGGUGCCUCUAGUCCUAACUGUUCCCCUAUGAAAAUUUUCACCGCACGCCACUGUUAACCUCUUUAGCUCAUAACAAAACAUAAGAUAAUUCCUCUCAGACGCAUCGCUGAAUGCAAAUCGUAACAGUUUCCUUUCCUCCUGGGCUUAGCCACAGAUCUGUAGAAGCUUAACAAUUCCCCUUUCUUCUUUUCCUUACCUAUGUGUGAGCAGCAGUUGGUGUUCAGGACUCGGACUAAAAAUAGAGUAAGUUAAAAACCACUCGCUUUCCUCAUUGUAUCUCAUUUUCUAUUCUGAGCUAUAGAAGAACUCUGGGGGAAAUAACGUUCAACAUAUAUUGCUUCAGAACAUGAUGAGCUGUACAACUCAUAUUCUGUACCAAGUUUGGAGCCAUUGCUAGACUUUAAACAAUCUUCUUUUUUUUAACUUUGAAAAAUUUAUUUGAUUUCAUUGAUAUUUUUUUUAUUCUCCAACUUGAAGCAGCACAUGGGUCCCCUCCUAUUUUAUUCUCAAAACAACACUGUGAAGUAAUUAAACUUGAAGGAAUGGCUGACCUCAACUUUGCCCAAUUAGUUUUGCGGCUAAGAAUGUGAAGCCAGGCCUUUGUUUUAAAUCCACCCCUCAUGCUGACCUUAGCCCACCCCAUCAAACAAGGGCAACAACACCCUGAAAGAAUUACCAAGUUUUCAGGGGUUAUAGGCCACAGGAAGGCCCAGUCUACUUCUAUAGGAUUGGGACAAGUUCAGAAGUUUGGCAAGGCAUUGAUAAUGUCAUGGAACGGGUGUGGGGCCUACAGGCUUCAGAAAAUAAUUGAUACUUUGGGAAAAACAAUUUCCCGCCAUGCAUUUCUUCCAAACUUCAAAAUGGAACACAAAAUGGAACCCUGGAGUUCAGUAUCUUGAGGCCACUCUUCUGACACCAUAAUGCAGAAUGUGUAAGUCAAAAGGACACACGCUUGCAAUGAUAUAUGAAUAAGGUUAUAUUAUUGAUGUUUUCUUCUUCUUCAUACUUCUUUCAGUAAUUUGGGUGUGCAGGCCUCACCUUAGAAACCUCCUUAGCCUUAUCAAAACACUUUGUUUUAUUUGGCAGAAUUAUUCAGAUGUUUGGUUGAGGGCAAACCUCUGCAUUCAACAAAUUCUUGCUGCAGAUGACAUUUUGGUGGAAACUCUAUGUCUGUUGGCAAAUGUCAUUUGUAGAUGACAUGGUUGUGUACUUGGGAGCACAUGAAUAAUGCAUGAUGCACAGUAUUGGAAAAAGGGCAAUAGAUGAAUGAAAGUUGGUAAUUUAUUAUUUAUUUUAUCAAUGUGCUCUUACAAGGCAGCUUACAUAUCAUAAAAACAUAAUACAAUUCAGAAAGCAAACACAGACAAUUGAUCUGGCAACAAAGCACAAAAAUUCAUUUAAACACAUGAAGAACAUAGGCCAGUUAAAUAAAACAGCAAAUAGGAGUUGCUGAAGAUAAAAAGGAUUCUGAUUUAAGCCAGUAAAAUGCAAAAACCUAAAUCAAGAAAAAGUGGCCUGAAAUAGUUUUUUUUUAAAAAAGAAACUGGCUUACACUUUAGUCCAAUGCAUGUUUGCUUGGAAGCAAGGUUGUUUUUAUUCAGUUGGGCCUAUUCUUUGUGACUUUGUUUAGGAUUGCAGCUUUAAAGUGGGGAGGGAGUUCUAAUCUGUGGGUGACUACAAAAAACGCCCUCAUUCUCUCAUGCCUGCCAAAAUUGCAACCAUACAGUUUUUCAUUUUCUUUAUUACAUUGUAUAGGACCAUCUGGGGUGACGAACCUAUGACCAUUAGAUGUACAGCUUCAACUCCCAUCAUCCCUGGCCAUCAUCCUGUUGGCUGGGGUUGAUAGGAAUUCAAGUCCUAUAUCCUCUGGAGGGCCUUGAGUUAACCACCACUGAGGUAAUUUAUAGAGACGCUCUUGGAAUUAAAUCUAUCUGGAAUUGCUGGUGUUCAUCCCUGACAUGCUGAUUUCAGUCUAGAUUGAUUUUAGAUCCCACCAUCCACAGACGUGGGUGUGGUUACUGUAGGAGAUUGUGAAUGAUGGGAAGUACCCCCAACCCCCAUGAAGCACUCAGGAAUCAAACCUUGUUCCAAGAAGAGCUUUAUUCCUGUUGCAGUCUUGGGUGGUUCAUCAAGGUACAUAAUGCAGUCUUCUUACAAUACCAGCAUCCAUGUGUCGCAAGUAUGCCAGCUCAUACAGGAGACAUCACAUAGAGGGGAGAAGCCAGCAGCAGGAGUCAAUCAUACCUUUUUUAAAAAAAACCCUGACAGUUAAGUCCAGUCGCGAACGACUCUGGUGUUGUGGUGCUCAUCUCGCUUUACUGGCCGAGGGAGCCGACGUUUGUCCACA